UGUUCUCUCCAUUCCAGAAUGUGAUUGAUACGUAACAGUACAUUUUAUCCGCGCUGCCCUCAAACUAAAGCACGCAGCCUGUUUAUAUUUAUAAGUUGUUUUAACUUCAAUUUAAAAUGAUUUUCAAACAAGUUUUUAUUUUCUAAAAACAGUUUGAAUUUAGGUGUGUUCCGCCUCCUCAUUCAUUCACAUAAAAUAGUCAUUUUUACUUUUGCGGAUAAUUACAUUUUUGGGACAUUUCUGACAGGGACAAAAUUCCCCAAGCACUUCCCAAUUGUUUGUGCAGUUCACGUCUGCAGACAUUUGCUCAUCUCCCGUCAGAACAGGAUCUGCACACGUGUUCACAUUUUCUAUUCCACAUUUCUAUUGUAGCGUACUGUAUGUAUAGAGCAUAAUAUAUUUGUGUAUAUUCUUUAUCACCGCGGAAACGUGAGCUACCAUGGCCUUAUGACUCUCAAGUGGUGCAGCGGUCAAAGGCACAGCACAUCAGUACUAGAGGUGUCACUACAGACUCCCUGGUUCAAAUCCAGGCUGCGUUUCCAUCAAAAAACAUUAUUUGCCAAUAUCAUAACUGAAGCUGGACAUCUUUGGAGCAUAAGAAUGAGGACAGCUUUUGUAUGCUAACGUACACUCCUUAACAGUUGUACUGGAUGAAAACACAGCAAGAAAACGCAUGCCAAUAUGUAAUAUUCAUCUAUUUUAUUGCAGUACUGGUAGUUAUUUCAACAACUUGUUUUACUAGAGGACAAAAAACUGAAUAUGCGUAACCCAUAUUUAAUAUCCAUGCAGUGACUGAACAACAACUGCAUUUCCACCCCCAUCUCUAAGGCAUAGUAUCAUGGCUGGUCACCUGUCAAGUCACAUGUCAGGUCAGUCAGUCACCUAUUGCUGCAGAUGUGCUCAAUAAUGCUUGAGUAUGUGAUACUCCUCAAAGCAUGGUGAAAUACAUAGAGGUGUAUCACAAGCUAGACACAUGUAUUUUGUCAUCUUCCUCUGCUUACUUCUCCUGGCGCCAGACAGGCAGACUUUGCAAUGCCUCCGUGUGCGACUACCUUGAGAAGCAGUUUGAGGGACUUUGCAGGGAAAAUGUCGUGCAGUGAGGCG